rnacentral:rRNA from 1 species
AGAAUCAACGCUGGCGGCGUGCCUAACACAUGCAAGUCGAACGAGAAAGUGGAGCAAUCCAUGAGUAAAGUGGCGACCGGGUGAGUAACACGUGACCAAUCUACCCUUGAGUGGGGGAUAACCUCGGGAAACCGGGGCUAAUACCGCAUAAUAUCUUCGGGACGGAAGUACUGAAGAUCAAAGGAGCAAUUCGCUUAAGGAGGAGGUCGCGGCUGAUUAGCUAGUUGGCGGGGUAAUGGCCCACCAAGGCAAAGAUCGGUAGCCGGCCUGAGAGGGCGCACGGCCACACUGGAACUGAAACACGGUCCAGACUCCUACGGGAGGCAGCAGUGGGGAAUUUUGCGCAAUGGGGGAAACCCUGACGCAGCAACGCCGCGUGGAGGAUGAAGUCCUUGGGACGUAAACUCCUUUCGACCCGGACGAUAAUGACGGUACGGGUGGAAGAAGCCCCGGCUAACUUCGUGCCAGCAGCCGC